CCUACGGGUGGCUGCAGUGGGGAAUAUUGCACAAUGGGGGAAACCCUGAUGCAGCGACGCCGCGUGAGUGAAGAAGUAUUUCGGUAUGUAAAGCUCUAUCAGCAGGGAAGAAAAUGACGGUACCUGAUUAAGAAGCCCCGGCUAACUACGUGCCAGCAGCCGCGGUAAGACGUAGGGGGCAAGCGUUAUCCGGAUUUACUGGGUGUAAAGGGAGGGUAGACGGCAGCACAAGUCUGGAGUGAAAUGCCGGGGCUUAACCCCGGACCAGCUGUGGAAACUGGGUAGCUAGAGUGCAGGAGAGGUAAGUGGAAUGCGUAGUGUAGCGGUGAAAUGCGUAGAUAUUAGGCAGAACACCAGUGGCGAAGGCGGCUUACUGGAGUGUAACUGACGUUGAGGCACGAAAGCGUGGGGAGCAAACAGGAUUAGAUACCCCAGUAGUC
rnacentral:rRNA from 1 species